rnacentral:rRNA from 1 species
UACGUAGGUGACCAGCGUUGUCCGGAUUUACUGGGCGUAAAGAGCGCGCAGGCGGUCGUUCAAGUCGAGUGUGAAAGCCCCCGGCUCAACUGGGGAGGGUCAUUCGAUACUGAUCGACUGGAAGGCAGGAGAGGGAAGCGGAAUUCCCGGUGUAGUGGUGAAAUGCGUAGAUAUCGGGAGGAACACCAGUGGCGAAGGCGGCUUCCUGGCCUGUUCUUGACGCUGAGGCGCGACAGCGUGGGGAGCAAACAGG